AGGCUCAAAGCAUGCUCUUGGUCCCCUAAAUGGGCUUUGCAGCUGUGGCACAAGUCCUGGUCCUUGUCAACCGGGCCUGGAACACCCCUGCCACCUCCUCCUGCCUCCAGGCUUCCGGCCCUGUGGCCAGCGAGCGAGUUAACCUUGUCACUUUGGGCCCUUCCGCGGCUCCCUGUUGGGAGGACCCCCACUCCCAUGAUUCAUCUCAGUUCCAGAGGGCAGGAGUCCAGCGUCAAGGUAUCAGCAGGACGGCGUUCUCUCCUCAGGCCCCAGAAGGACCCUUCCUGCCUCUUUUGGCCCCUGUUGGCUCCGGGCAUGGCGAGGCCUGAGGCUGCCCUGCGCCGGCUCUGCCGCCUUCUCACCCCCUUGUCCAGCGUCCCCUCGGUCUCUUUCGACACUCGCCAUCAGACUCACAGCCCAGGUGGGUAAUCAGGACGAGUCUCUCAUCUCAGGACCCUUAAUCACCUCCGCAAAGACGGCUUCCCACCGAGGUCACACUCGCAGGUGGGUCAGGACACCCGGACUGUUUCUGAAGCUCUGUUGGUCCCACCACGCUCCGCCCUGGAACCACCCUGAGAAGGGAGAAGGUCUGUUGGCAAGUCCCAGGUGGAGAAGCCGAGGCUGCGGCAGAGAGCGACUUCCUCACGUCACAAAGGAUCAGAGGCACAGUGGGGGUGAGGACCCAGGGCCUGACCCUGGAGCCCAGGGCUGCGUCCCUCUCCAUGCACCGAUGUCUUACAGUCAUGGCUUCACGGGGCCCCUUCUCAGGGGGGCCCUCCUUGGCCACUUGGCCUGAGUGGCCACCCUCCGCCCCCUACUUCUGGUCACUUCGUGGGGUGGAAGCAGACUGAGACCAGGGGAGCCAUGUAUGGGGACUGAGUGUCCUGGGACUGUGAGGGUGAGGGCGCAGGACAGGCAGAGGGAGACCUGGGCCGAGGUGGCCCCAUAGGAGCACUCAGAGCAGCCCCUCAAGAGACGGCAGUGAGGGCCACGCAUUGGAAGCCUUUUCUCUGACAGGAUGACCAGGCGGUUUCUUUGUGCAGAUCUAUCAAGGGGCCGGGAGGGAGGGACAUUCAGGGAGCAUGACCCUGUGGCCCUCUUACGCCCAAGGCCAGCAGCAUGGAGCCUGGCCUGGCCCCUCCCUCUUUAUCAGGACCCCCAAUUCUCCAGAUUGGACAGAGCACACGAUCCGACCCCAUAGUCACCCAGAGUCCCCAGGCCACAUGCUUCACAGUUUCCCUUCAGAUCAGGACUUGGUGUGGGCAGCCUGGGGGACAAGGACCCUGCUGACACUCCUGGGUUCCCCUCCCAGCCCUGCCACAUGCCAGCAGGACAGGUCACCUCCCUGAGCCUCGAGUUCCUCAUCCGUGGAGAGGGUGUACCCAGGCCCAGGCCGCCGGCUACUGUGGGAUUCAGUCUGGGGAGGGUCUCAGCCAGGCCCUGAGCUCAGGUGCGGGGUCCAGGGAGGACCCGGGCAGGGUGAGGGCAAGGGAGGCUCAGGCUCCUAAACCACCUUCUCUGCCGUCCUUGCUUCCAGGGCCCCACCCCCUUGGGACCAUGUGGCCUUGAUCUCCACUGACAGGGCAGCCCUCUGGGGACACAGCAAGGUGGGCGCCCUCCAUGGCAGCAGAAAGGGUCCGAGGUGACGUGCCAGUGUCCUCCAGCAGACAGGCUGGUCUAGGUUUUCCCGCCGCGUCCAUCCUUCCUUCUCUGUUGACAACACCCGGUUCCACGCCCGACACUGACCCCACUGCGGGCUUCCAGGAUGGACACUCAGUUCAGGUCUGGCUGAUGACUGCAUUCCCUUGGCCACAGUGACGGGGUCAGGGAGGGACAUCACCCAGGCCAGGCCAAGCAGAGGCACGUGCAUUCUCAUGGGGUCACUGAGCUGUGAGCCAGAAUCAGGGACCUGCCAGGGUGCAGCUGGCCCCACGUCAAGCGUUGCCAACAGCUGGAGAGAAAGAGACCGGGUGGCUUGUCUGCACCUGAGCCCCACUGGACCCGAAGCCAGAUCGCUCCUGGCUCGUCCUGUCAGUAGAACAUUCUCCUCCUCAGUUUGAGCCAAUGUGCACUGGAUUCCCACUCUCACAAUCGUGAGUAAUUUUACACACACAGGAAUAGCAAGGACAGGGUCUCCUCCAGGGGCCACGUUCCAGGAACUGGACGCUUGAGUUAAAAGAGUGGUCAAGGGCCACUUUCGUUGGCCCAUAAAGUGUGAUUUCUUUUUACCAAGAAAAAGUAUUUAUAUAUUUUACCACAGAAAACAACCAGGACACUUUAAAACAUUAUCUGCGAGGCAGCACCCCAGGCUCCGGGCUUGGACUCAGCCUGGCUUUGAGUCCAGCAGAGCCAGCUGCUAGCGGGUACUGACCAACGACCCCUGCCAAAUGCGGACAAUCACAGUGUCCUCGCAGAGCCCCAGGAGGCUUUGCGAGCUGCCUGGUAAACAGUGCCCAGGUGAGCGUGUCAGUGCCCAGGUGAGCGUGUCAGUGCCCAGGUGGGCACAAGCCCACGCCAGGCCUCUGCUCGUACAGAGCUUAGUAAGAGCCUGGGCUGCUGGGGACACGUGGGUCGGGGAGGACCUGGGAUUUCACAAACACAAGGCAGAAGUGUGGGGGCACUCUGGGGACCACGCCUUCCUGACCUGAAGCACAAGGCGCUGGCCAAUCACUACACUUCAGGUCCCAGCUCGGAGAGCAAGGCGGUCUUCAGUGGAGGCUACCCCUGGGGUUGAGUCACAUUCACCUGUCCCUUGUCGUCCUUUAUGGACAGAACUUUCUAAGAACAGUGUCCCCCCCAAAUAAAAGCUCACCUCCGAAUGUGCUUCCCUCUCUCGUCGGCCUCCAGUGACUUUCUCUUGCUCUGCCUUUUGGGGAGCUUGAGGCCGAGGGCCGGGGAAAGCCGUCCUGGAGCCUGUGUAAAGGUAA